UACAGAGGUCUCAAGCGUUGUUCGGAUUCAUUGGGCGUAAAGGGUGCGUAGGCGGCGCGGUAAGUCGGAUGUGAAAUCUCGGAGCUUAACUCCGAAACUGCAUUCGACACUGCCGUGCUUGAGGACUGGAGAGGAGACUGGAAUUUACGGUGUAGCGGUGAAAUGCGUAGAUAUCGUAAGGAAGACCAGUGGCGAAGGCGGGUCUCUGGACAGUUCCUGACGCUGAGGCACGAAGGCCAGGGGAGCAAACGGG
rnacentral:rRNA from 1 species